rnacentral:rRNA from 1 species
AAAUAGAUACCCCGGUAGUCCAUGCCGUAAACGUUGGGCGCUAGAUGUGGGGACCAUUCCACGGUUUCCGUGUCGCAGCUAACGCAUUAAGCGCCCCGCCUGGGGAGUACGGCCGCAAGGCUAAAACUCAAAGGAAUUGACGGGGGCCCGCACAAGCGGCGGAGCAUGCGGAUUAAUUCGAUGCAACGCGAAGAACCUUACCAAGGCUUGACAUAUACGAGAACGCUCUAGAAAUAGAGAACUCUUUGGACACUCGUAUACAGGUGGUGCAUGGUUGUCGUCAGCUCGUGUCGUGAGAUGUUGGGUUAAGUCCCGCAACGAGCGCAAUCCUCGUUCUAUGUUGCCAGCGGUUCGGCCGGGAACUCAUAGGAGACUGCCGGGGUCAACUCGGAGGAAGGUGGGGAUGACGUCAAAUCAUCAUGCCCCUUAUGUCUUGGGCUUCACGCAUGCUACAAUGGCCGGUACAAAGGGCUGCAAUACCGUAAGGUGGAGCGAAUCCCAAAAGGCCGGUCUCAGUUCGGAUUGAGGUCUGCAACUCG